rnacentral:lncRNA from 1 species
CUUGAAUUUGUUGCUAUAGUCUCUGUUACUGUCUUAGUUAAAAAGCACAAUGAAGUGCUGUAAACACAUGCAUUCACAUACAGGCACAGGUGCACUCCUAUUACUCCCCUGUGGCAAGCAGCAUGCUAGUUGUAGCGUAAGAAUGUGGUAUAUAGAACAAAACCCUUUGCUGUUUUUUCAAGAUUGCUGACUGGCAGUAAUGGGCGAUUGUGGAGACAGUUCUCAACUGAGAACCAAAGAAACUGGACACUGCCUCCCUCACCCCAACUCCUGAUGCAUUUAUCCAUCAAAGUGCUCUGAGCUGGACUCCAGAGUGAGGUUCCUGAAAGUUCGCUGAAGAGGAGCAUAAUGGUUCUGCACCACCGACACACUUAGGCAGAGACCAGGGAUGCUCAAGGGGGCAGUCAACCUUCAUCUCUUGGUCUGGAUAAACGGUGAAAGAAUCACAAGAUCACAAUGGCUCAGUGCCACUGAUGGAGGCGCACAGCUGGUGCCACACCCAAGGAGUGCAGGUGAGAGCCAUCACUGCUGUGCUUGCAGAAAGCCGUGGAACAAAGAGCAGGG